rnacentral:lncRNA from 1 species
AGAUUCCUUAUUCAUCCAACUGAAUCUCUACAACUAAGACACCCAAUUAGUCCACAUAAGAUCAGAACUUCAAACAAAAUCAUAACUAAAUAGACUAACAUAUCCAAAGAAGCUAAUAUCACAAGAUUACAACGUGAAUGACCAUUCAUUAGACAUCAAAAGGCUUGAAUUUGCAUAUCAGUUACAAGGCUUCUCAUGUUGCACUUCACAUUUAAAGAGAUACAAUGAAUACCUGGUGAAAUUAAGCAAAAGAAUUGUAAGUAAACCACAUGUAGGAGAGGAUGAGAUUCAGCAGAUCAACAGCAAUAUAGAAGAACCCGACACUAGCAGAACCAAUUUCAAACCAGAAAAAUAAUGCGAAGUAGUUCAAAAACCAGUCUCAACCGAACAGUAACCACAGCAAACUCCAAACCAAACUUUUAAAACCCAAAUUCAAACCAUUUCAACCCCAGAUGAAUCAUGAAUUGCUUCAGAAGUUGAAAACCUCAAGAGUCACAGAAGAAAUUCAAUGGGACAGUGAUUUUUAUGAAUGUUUUCAACCAUUUUUCAUUUUUCUAAAUUUUUU